AGUGAACGCUGGCGGUAGGCCUAACACAUGCAAGUCGAACGGCAGCACAGUAAGAGCUUGCUCUUACGGGUGGCGAGUGGCGGACGGGUGAGGAAUACAUCGGAAUCUACUUUUUCGUGGGGGAUAACGUAGGGAAACUUACGCUAAUACCGCAUACGACCUACGGGUGAAAGCAGGGGAUCUUCGGACCUUGCGCGAUUGAAUGAGCCGAUGUCGGAUUAGCUAGUUGGCGGGGUAAAGGCCCACCAAGGCGACGAUCCGUAGCUGGUCUGAGAGGAUGAUCAGCCACACUGGAACUGAGACACGGUCCAGACUCCUACGGGAGGCAGCAGUGGGGAAUAUUGGACAAUGGGCGCAAGCCUGCUCCAGUCAUACCGCGUGGGUGAAGAAGGCCUUCGGGUUGUAAAGCCCUUUUGUUGGGAAAGAAAAGCAGCAGGUUAAUACCCCGCUGUUCUGACGGUACCCAAAGAAUAAGCACCGGCUAACUUCGUG
rnacentral:rRNA from 1 species